rnacentral:rRNA from 1 species
UGUCUCAAAGAUUAAGCCAUGCAUGUCUAAGUAUAAGCUAAAUUAAAGUGAAACCGCGAAUGGCUCAUUACAACAGCCGUUGUUCCCUUGAGACUAUGAAUACUUGGAUAACUGUGGCAAUUCUAGAGCUAAUACACGCACUGAAGCCCUGACCUUGCGGGAAGGGUGCAUUUAUUAGAACAAAACCAAUCGGGGCAACCCGCUGUUUGGUGAAUCUGAAUAACCCAGCUGAUCGCACGGUCUUUGCACCGGCGACGCAUCUUUCAAGUGUCUGCCUUAUCAACUUUCGAUGGUAGUUUAUGUGACUACCAUGGUUAUAACGGGUAACGGAGAAUAAGGGUUCGACUCCGGAGAGGGAGCCUGAGAAACGGCUACCACAUCCAAGGAAGGCAGCAGGCGCGCAAAUUACCCACUCUCAGCACGAGGAGGUAGUGACGAAAAAUAACGAGGCGGUUCUCUAUGAGGCCCGCUAUCGGAAUGAGAACAAUAUAAAUCCUUUAACGAGGAUCUAGCGGAGGGCAAGUCUGGUGCCAGCAGCCGCGGUAAUUCCAGCUCCGCCAGUGUAUAUCUAUGCUGCUGCGGUUAAAAAGCUCGUAGUUGGAUCUGCGUGCUAGGAACCGGUCCGUCCACUGGGCGUGAACUGGUCUCCGGCAUUAUAUCAGCUGGUUUUCCCCUGAUGCUCUUAACCGGGUGUCUUGGGUGGCUAGCAAGUUUACUUUGAAAAAAUUAGAGUGCUCAAAACAGGCGCAAGCCUUGAAUACUAGUGCAUGGAAUAAUAGAAUAGGACUCCGGUUCUGUUUUGUUGGUUUUCGGAACACGAAGUAAUGAUUAAGAGGGACAGACGGGGGCAUUCAUAUUGCGACGUUAGAGGUGAAAUUCUUGGAUCGUCGCAAGAUGGACAACUGCGAAAGCAUUUGCCAAGAAUGUUUUCAUUAAUCAAGAACGAAAGUUAGAGGUUCGAAGGCGAUCAGAUACCGCCCUAGUUCUAACCGUAAACGAUGCCAACUAGCGAUCCGCUGGCGUUAAUUACGACCUAGCAGGCAGCUUCCCGGAAACGAAAGUCUUCCGGUUCCGGGGGAAGUAUGGUUGCAAAGCUGAAACUUAAAGGAAUUGACGGAAGGGCACCACCAGGAGUGGAGCCUGCGGCUUAAUUUGACUCAACACGGGGAAACUCACCCGGCCCGGACACUGUAAGGAUUGACAGAUUGAGAGCUCUUUCUUGAUUCAGUGGGUGGUGGUGCAUGGCCGUUCUUAGUUGGUGGAGCGAUUUGUCUGGUUAAUUCCGAUAACGAACGAGACUCUAGCCUAUUAAAUAGUAAACGCGCCCCUAGCGCGUUGUUACUUCUUAAAGGGACAGGCGGUAUUGAGCCGCACGAAAAAGAGCAAUAACAGGUCUGUGAUGCCC